rnacentral:rRNA from 1 species
UUUCGACACACUAUCAUUAACUGAAUCCAUAGGUUAAUGAGGCGAACCGGGGGAACUGAAACAUCUAAGUACCCCGAGGAAAAGAAAUCAACCGAGAUUCCCCCAGUAGCGGCGAGCGAACGGGGAGCAGCCCAGAGCCUGAAUCAGUGUGUGUGUUAGUGGAAGCGUCUGGAAAGGCGCGCGAUACAGGGUGACAGCCCCGUACACAAAAAUGCACAU